rnacentral:rRNA from 1 species
GAUGAACGCUGGCGGUAUGCCUAACACAUGCAAGUCGUACGAGAGUUUUUAACUCUAGUGGCGGACGGGUGAGUAACACGUGAGAAUUUGCCUUUAGGAGGGGGAUAACAAUUGGAAACGAAUGCUAAUACCCCAUAUGCUUUUGAGUGAAACGGAUUUAUCCGCCUAGAGAGAAGCUCGCGGCUGAUUAGCUUGUUGGUAAGGUAAGAGCUUACCAAGGCGACGAUCAGUAUCUGGUUUGAGAGGACGAUCAGACACACUGGAACUGAGACACGGUCCAGACUCCUACGGGAGGCAGCAGUGGGGAAUUUUCCGCAAUGGGCGAAAGCCUGACGGAGCAAUACCGCGUGAGGGAAGAAUGCCUAUGGGUUGUAAACCUCUUUUUUCAGGGAGGAAUAAAAUGACGUGUACCUGAAGAAUAAGCAUCGGCUAACUCCGUG